AAACUUUCAACAAUGGAUCUCUUGGUUCUCGCAUCGAUGAAGAACGCAGCGAAAUGCGAUAAGUAAUGUGAAUUGCAGAAUUCCGUGAAUCAUCAAAUUUUUGAACGCAAAUUGCACUCCUUGGUAUUCCGAGGAGUACACCUGCUUGAAGGUCAGU
rnacentral:rRNA from 1 species